ensembl:lncRNA ATP1A1-AS1 ATP1A1 antisense RNA 1
GAAGCUCCCACCUGAGCGGCGCAUCCUCAGGGCCUGGGCCUGGCCUCCUUGCCUGUGAGAUGGCACUGUGACGGUGCCCACCUCGUGGGGUGUGUGAGGGCCGAGUGAAAUCGUGCAUUUGCGAUGUCUAGGACACACUGGAUUUGUACAUCUGGGGCUCAGGAGAGGACCAGAUCAGAGCUGGAAAUCAUGCCAGGAAGAGUAUGAAGCAGGGAGAGAAGGUGUGGAGGCCUCCCUGAGGAAACGAGGGGUCGAGCAGGUGAAGAGGGGGCUGAGAGCUAAGGAGUGCACAGAGACAAUGACAGAAAGACGGGAGGUCUGGUUUCAGGAAGGGUGUGAUGGACAGAAGAGAUGCAGCAGAGGUCAAGGAAGGACCAAGAUGCAUCAGGAGGAAAUGCCCAUGACCUUCAUCGCAGCAGCGUAUGUGCGUUGGUCUUCUCCAGGGAUGCCGAAAGUAGACAUACAGGGAGUCGCAGUACGGAUACCACCAGUGCCAGCCUGACCUCACAAGAGACGUCUUGUGUGACUGGCCCUGCCGUCACAGCUGGGCCAGUAAAGUACCUUCCAGGAGGCUCCAGUUGCUACCUGACUCACAACCUUCUAAUCCCAUGAUCUUUUAGUUCUAGUUUCCUUAUCUUGGUCUGAGCAAAUGGCUCAUUUUAAAGAUGACUUGCAGACAAAUGUAGAGAUCAUCCCAGGGGAAAGUGCCCCAAGAAAGGAGAGUCCAAGACCACCUGCCCCUCCCAGUUCUGCGGCUGGAGUGGGUGGGUGCAGCAACCACAGCCCCAGUGUACAGGAGUCACCACUGUCUCCUCCCGCAUUGGCCCAGCUUGGAAGUGCACAGCAACCAAGCAUGAGGACUGAGUUAAGCUUUUCGGAGAAAAAAGACACUAUGAUCAUCUGGCAGAUCACGAUCACUGUUUGGUGCCAGAGGUCUGAAAUGCAGAAGACAGAAGAUGAGCUCUGGCUCUUCACCUGCAUGGCUGGUGGCAGUGUGGCCUCAGUCUUCUGGGGCUUGAGGAGCUCUGACACUGGUCAGGUCAGAGGUGCCCACUCACCCACUGCUGCCCGUAGCUGUCUUCCACAUCGUUGAUCCAGCGGUCAUCCCAGUCCACUCGGAGGCCCAACAGGUGAAUUGGGAGGAAGCCGUUCUCAGCCAGAAUCACAAAGUAAGUAAAGAAGCCUCCCAGGGCCUGGAUCAUUCCUAAGUUGGGAAAACAACCCAAUUACUAGAACCUCACACACAAGGGUACCUGUAUAGCCUUCAGCUGAUUACUGCAGCAGGCCUGGGAGAGCACAUAUGGAGGAGUGUUUCCCCCUGGUUGAUAAAAGCACAGGAAAGAAUUGCCUGGUCACUCACAGGCUAUGAGGGAUGGGAUGGAGGACCCCAGGCAUACACUCCAAUCUCAGGGCCCUCUGCUUUUUGAGUCACUUUUUGGAGCCUACACAAAGACACAUGU